AUCGCUUCUCGGCCUUUUGGCUAAGAUCAAGUGUAGUAUCUGUUCUUAUCAGUUUAAAUACACACAUCAGUUACCUUUACUUUGUAGUGAACAAACUGAAGUAUAUACACUUUAUUAGCCUUCAAAAUUAUUUUAAAUGGUUCUAAACUUAA
rnacentral:snRNA from 1 species